rnacentral:tRNA from 1 species
UGGGGAGUAGCUCAAAUGGUAGAGUACUUGCUUAGUAAGCAUGAGGUCCCAGGUUCAAUUCCUAGUACUACAA